rnacentral:snoRNA from 1 species
GGGCUUAUGAUGAUAUUUCAAAUAAUCUUAGCCAAUUUCAGUGAAUUUUUUUAUCAAUGAUUUAAAUGUUGCACACACUACAUCCU